ensembl:lncRNA
UUUCAUUUUUUUUCCUCUUCUGCUGGUAUUAAAAUCUCCAAGACAACUCAAAAAGUCUCAGCCUGCGGAUUUAGAGGACAAGGAGAAGGAAGAACUCUUCCCACAUGAGGAAGGUGAUGAUGUUGCUUCAGGCUCAGCUCAGUCCUUGGGGUGGCCGUGCUGGGACACGAGGGAUAUUGCCCCAUGGCUGCACUCAGAUCCCAGCACUCCAGGGCAUAAAAGCAUGGCACUGCCAUACUCACAUCACAUGCCAUGUCCACAUCACCCCUUCCUAUUGUCACGCUGCCUGUAGGACACUUCCUGCGGGUAUUUGCUGGUAAAGAGAAUCAGACACAAAAAAAUCUUUCACUGAAGAGUUAACUUUGCUUAAAGAGAUAGUGACAAAUCACAUUUCUCCACACAAAUCUGUGCUGAGCCAGGAUCCUCCCUCGUGUAACUUCUGACUUCAAUAGCAAGGGCUGGUCACAAGCCGCAAUUAGAGCUGGCCAGGAAAUAGCGGGUUUUGUCUCAUGGCAACUUCUGAGGUUUCAAAAUCUGUUUAUGUUCUGCAGAGGAAACGAAAUCAAAACAUUUCUAAUAUGAAAUGGGAGCCUGUCAAAAUGUCCAUUUUCUGUGCAGCAAGCUCCUCGUUUCACUGUGGCUUUUCCCCUGCCCUCUCACCAUGGCUGGGGAAGGGCUGUGCCUGCAGCUGGGAGCAAUCACGGGGCUGGUGUGCCUGGGUGCCAAAUGCGUCCAUGCUCAAAGCCACCCAUGUGUUUUGAUAAAAAUAGAUGAAUUGAAAACACCAUGACCACUCUCUCCUGCAGCAUUCAGCUUGUUUGGGAUCAGGCUGACCUGGUAAUGCAUUGUGCCAGCACCGCGGGGGGACAGAGGACAACCUAAAUGGCCCACUCCUCUUCUGCUCAGUAGAUGUCUCUAGAAGGACCUUAAAAAUCUGAUUUUUCUCUAAGGUGUAGCAAAAACUUUAAAAAUACCGGCUCUGUAGGGAUAUGAAAGGCCCAAUGGCAUCGUUGGCAGGAGUGAACAUCUGCCUGGGAAUCAUUCGCAUUUCCUCUCCUGCCCCACGUGUUUGCUGACUGUGCUUCCACUGCUCUCCAUCCCAGAUCCACCUCCAGGGCUGUCCAUCCCAGAUCCAUCUCCAGGGCCAUCCAUCCCAGAUCCAUCUCCAGGGCCGUCCAUCCCAGAUCCAUCUCCAGGGCUGUCCAUCCCAGAUCCACCUCCAGGGCCAUCCAUCCCAGAUCCAUCUCCAGAGCCAUCCAUCCCAGAUCCAUCUCCAGGGCUGUCCAUCCCAGAUCCAUCUCCAAUCCAUCUCCAGGGCUGUCCAUCCCAGAUCCAUCUCCAGGGCUCUCCAUCCCUGAUCCAUCUCCAGAGCCAUCCAUCCCAGAUCCAUCUCCAGGGCUGUCCAUCCCAGAUCCAUCUCCAGUGCUUUCCAUCCCAGGUCUGUCUCUACUUCUCUCCAUCCCCGAUCCACCUCCAGUGCUCUCCAUCCCAGAGUGGCUCACUGCAGCUGGGGGUUCUGGUAUAGCUCAUAAAGCUGCACCAGAAAAGUUCCCUUUGCCCACCUUUCCGUGAAAUCUGCUAAUCAAUUUAUGGCGGUGAGUGAGCAUGGUAAGAAAGGGUGAGGAACUUUAACAGGGGCAUUACCUUCCCAAGAGCCUGAGUGCCUUCCAUAGCACACUUCAGACUUAGAAAGCCUUUCUCCAAAUAACUUUCUGCUGGUUAUAUCACCAACUGAAAAUAGUGAAGAAGGUGAAUUUCUUCAGCAUGGCACAGGGAUGUCUUGCUGCCCUGAGUUUGUCCUGUCCUGACUCCCUUCCUCCACUGCCAGCCCAGCUGGUGCUGGGGCAGCCCCUGUUCUGGGCACUUCCCCAGGCACCUGCCAAACCAGAGAUAGAAAUCACAGCACUGCACAGUGGCAAACCAAGGAGCAUGAUCUGAGUGGCUUUGAGCCAUCAGUUGGAAGAGAUGAUGGAUAAUGAAAGGUUGAGAGCAGGAAAAUCUCUUUCCCCGAAGUGUCUGUGUCUGACAUUAAAGAGCCUGAAAUUUUCUCAAAAUGCUUCCUUUUUUUUUUUUUUUUUUUUUCCCCAGACAGCAUGUUUCAACCUAAGGGUUUCAACCUAACCCUUAAAAAAUUACCUUCAAUCAGCUCAGGCCCAUAAUCUUUGCUUUGCCAUUCUCUUUGAACAGGCAGACACUUACAGACACUUAUCACAGGCAGACAGGUCCCAGCUCUGCUCCUUCACAUUCCCCAGAAUAAACCCAUGUGUGAGAACUGGAGACCACCCUGCUGUGGGUACUGUGCACCACCCACAUGCCCCUUCCAGAGACAGGCUGAGGCCAGAAAAGUCCCUGAAGGACUUGUAAAGGAGAGCCAAGACAUCAGAGUAUGCAAGGGCAGAGAGGACAAGCAGCAAGCCCGGGGCCAGGGGACCUGUUGGAGCUGUGGGUAAGUCAACAAGGAAUGUCGUGCUCAUUUCAUCUGGUAGCAUUUGGUCCAUUUAUUUUAAUUGCAAAUAAAUGCAAAGCAGAAAGAAAGGGUUGUAGUUAUUGUUGGAGCAGAGAAAACAUUUU